GAAUAAUAACUGCGUGAUGGGCAUGGUAAUUAGCUUGAUUGUAGUAUUCUUCCACAAUGUACAUGUAUAUCAAAGCAU